UACGUAGGGGGCAAGCGUUGUCCGGAUUUACUGGGCGUAAAGAGCGUGUAGGCGGCCUCACAGGUCCGUUGUGAAAACUGAAGGCUUAACCUUCAGACGUCGACGGAAACCGUGUGGCUAGAGUCCGGAAGAGGAGAGUGGAAUUCCUGGUGUAGCGGUGAAAUGCGCAGAUAUCAGGAAGAACACCAAUGGCGAAGGCAGCUCUCUGGGACGGUACUGACGCUGAGACGCGAAAGCGUGGGGAGCGAACAGG
rnacentral:rRNA from 1 species